rnacentral:rRNA from 1 species
UAAGAAUUUAAAAGUCGAACAGACUUAUUAUUAAGAAUACUGCUUCUUAUAAUUUUCUUAAUUCAACAUCGAGGUCGCAAAAUAUAAUAUAGAUAUGAACUCCCCAUUAAAAUUACGCUGUUAUCCCUAAGGUAACUAAGUCUUAUUUCCUAAGCAAGGAUCUAGAACUACAUAAACAAAUGAUUUUAAAAACUAAAGUUAAUUAUUUAACUGCCACCCCAGCAAAAUAUAAUAUAUUUGUUAAAAAGUAUAUUCAUAUAAAACCUAAUAACAAUAAAUUAUAUAAAGUUCUAUAGGGUCUUAUCGUCCCAAUAAAUCAAUAAAGCAUUUUAACCUUAAAUUUAAAUUUUAAUAUUUAAAGAAAUAAAAUAUAAUUCUCAUACACCCAUUCAUACCAGCUUCCAAUCAAAAAACUAAUUACUAUGCUACCUUUGCACAGUCAAAAUACUGCAGCCAUUUAGAAAUUUAACCAUAGGGCAGAAGAUACUUUCUAUAAAACCA